rnacentral:lncRNA from 1 species
AUUUUCCCGGCGGCGGCGUCAGGGGUGGACUCAGGGGCGGAAGGAGCAGAAGCAGCAGCGGCGGCGGGCGAGCUUUAUGCCUGUUUUAUUUCACUGCAAUCCAGUUUAAUGGAGCUGGAGCGACUGCACCGGGCCCGGCCCACGCCCCAGGAUGGACCUGAGACCCACAGCCACCCCCACACUGUUCCUUGGCGAUCCUGUGACACCCCAUAGAUAUGCCACAGCGACCCAUAGACACACACCCCCCCAGCCCCGUAGUGCCCUAUAGGCCCACAACACGUGUCCCCCAGCUUUUAUUGACUCCUGGCGUCAUGAUGUCACCAGGACCGCGAUGACAUCGUCAGCAUCAUCAAUGACACAGUGCCCCAUAGGGCCCCCACUACCCCCCGCAACCUGUAUCCCUUAGUGACCCAGAGCAACCCAUGGACACCUCCUAGAGCCCCUCAGAGCACAGUAGAUCCCCUAUAGAGCCACUCAGCCUCAUAGCCUCCCUGUAGACAUCCCAUAGGGUCCCAGAGCGACCCGUAGCCAUCCCAGAGCAGCUCUUAGCAACCCACAGACACCCCAUAGUUACGUAGACACCCAUAAACACCCAUCACAUAGUGACCCAUAGGCAGUCCCCAGCCAUCCACAGCACCCCAUAGAGGCCCACAGCAACUCCUGGAUACCCUAUACACCCACACAUAGCCCCAUGAUGACCCAUAGACACCCUCCACUGCCACAUAGCACCCCAUACACACCCCCCAUAGUUCCCUAUAGAUGCACAACACACACCCCACGGCUUUUAUUGACUUACGGUGUGACGUCACCAGGACUGCGAUGACAGCAGCAGCAGCAGCAUCGGCAACCACCACGGCACCACAUAGGGCCCCCAUUACCCCGUCGCGCCCCGUAAGUACCCCAACACCAAUCGUUUUUUUAUUUGCUUUCAUGCAUUUUUAUGAACUUUCAUUCACUUUUAUUCGAGAUUCAUUCAGGCUUGUUCACUUUUAUUCCUUUUUUUUUUGCUUUGUAAUAAUUUAUAAUCACAUUAUUCACUUUUGCUUUUUAUUGUCUUUACGCAGUUUUAUUCAGCUUUAUUGGCUUUUUUAUUCAUUUUUUCUUCAGAUUUAUUUGCUUUCUAGUCUCUUUUUUUUAAAUAACUUUUUUUUGUUUUUAAAUGCCCCACAGCGACCCAGAGAAACUCAUAGAGCUCCCCAGCCUCUAUAGACCCCCCAUAGAGAUGCACAGCAACCACUAGAGACUCAUAGAGACCCCAUAAUGUCAUUAAAAAGGGAAUAAAAAGUGAAUCGACCUGACUGCAACUUCAAGUGAACAAAAAUUGACUAAAAAUAAAAAGUGAACUAAACUGAAGAAAUUCAACGAAAAGUGAAAACAAGCAAUUGUAAAUUAUGAAAAAUGAAUAAAA